rnacentral:rRNA from 1 species
UUCGUAGGUGGCAAGCGUUGUCCGGAUUUACUGGGUGUAAAGGGCGUGCAGCCGGAGAGACAAGUCAGAUGUGAAAUCCACGGGCUCAACCCGUGAACUGCAUUUGAAACUGUUUCCCUUGAGUGUCGGAGAGGUAAUCGGAAUUCCUUGUGUAGCGGUGAAAUGCGUAGAUAUAAGGAAGAACACCAGUGGCGAAGGCGGAUUACUGGACGAUAACUGACGGUGAGGCGCGAAAGCGUGGGGAGCAAACAGG